rnacentral:lncRNA from 1 species
AAUGAUCAAAAUAUGGAUACAAUCAAAGCUAAUAUCCAUAAUAGAUAUCUUGGACAAAAAUGAAAAUUAUUUUUUUUGUGAAUAGUGUCGUAUACGUGAAUAGUGUCGUAUACGUGAAUAGUAACCCCGACACUAAAAGACAAGAAUUUCACAAGAAAAAUCUUACCAAUAUUCCGACAUAAUGAUAUUGAAAGAAAUAAUAUCAUUUAUAAAAAAAUAACAUCCCUUACCUCGAAAGAAUAGUACUUCUGGCUGGAAUAUCAGAUAUAACGCUGAAAUGAACUUGCUCCGUAUAGCAACACUCAAAGUAUCAAAAUACUCACAAGAAUAUUAAUAUAUAGAGAGAGAAGAUUUCAGUUUCUGGUGUGAUUUUUAAUUCUAACCUAAGCAUCCUAUUUAUAGGAAAAUGCUUAGAACACCAAAGCAAAAAAUUUAAUAAAAUAUUAAUAUAUUUUAUUAAAUUUCCUAUGCACACAAACUUGGUCCAAAAUCAGCCACACACCUCACCAAAAGUCACAAAAACGUUUUUCAUGUAAAAAUCACUUAAAACUCCCCAAAAAAAAAAUAAUCAAUUAAUCCGGAACUUCAAUAAUUCAUAAUAAAUAGCUCUUUUAUCAGAAAAAUUUGAAUCUUAUGUCCAUUCCAUAGAAAAUUCAAUUCUCUACAACUUUGUAGUUUUAAGUUUUUUCAAAUUCGAAACAGAAAUUGACCGAAAUCCACAUACGGACGAUUUUACAGGCUAUAAUCAAAUUUCAGUCAAGAAAUGGGGUCCACAAACAUGAAAAACAUGUUUUAAAUAUUUUUAGUAACAAAAAUACUCUUUC